rnacentral:rRNA from 1 species
GACGAACGCUGGCGGCGUGCUUAACACAUGCAAGUCGAACGGAAAGGCCCUGCUUUUGUGGGGUGCUCGAGUGGCGAACGGGUGAGUAACACGUGAGUAACCUGCCCUUGACUUUGGGAUAACUUCAGGAAACUGGGGCUAAUACCGGAUAGGAGCUCCUGCUGCAUGGUGGGGGUUGGAAAGUUUCGGCGGUUGGGGAUGGACUCGCGGCUUAUCAGCUUGUUGGUGGGGUAGUGGCUUACCAAGGCUUUGACGGGUAGCCGGCCUGAGAGGGUGACCGGCCACGUUGGGACUGAGAUACGGCCCAGACUCCUACGGGAGGCAGCAGUGGGGAAUAUUGCACAAUGGGCGGAAGCCUGAUGCAGCAACGCCGCGUGCGGGAUGACGGCCUUCGGGUUGUAAACCGCUUUCGCCUGUGACGAAGCGUGAGUGACGGUAAUGGGUAAAGAAGCACCGGCUAACUACGUGCCAGCAGCCGCGGUGAUACGUAGGGUGCGAGCGUUGUCCGGAUUUAUUGGGCGUAAAGGGCUCGUAGGUGGUUGAUCGCGUCGGAAGUGUAAUCUUGGGGCUUAACCCUGAGCGUGCUUUCGAUACGGGUUGACUUGAGGAAGGUAGGGGAGAAUGGAAUUCCUGGUGGAGCGGUGGAAUGCGCAGAUAUCAGGAGGAACACCAGUGGCGAAGGCGGUUCUCUGGGCCUUUCCUGACGCUGAGGAGCGAAAGCGUGGGGAGCGAACAGGCUUAGAUACCCUGGUAGUCCACGCUGUAAACGGUGGGUACUAGGUGUGGGGUCCAUUCCACGGGUUCCGUGCCGUAGCUAACGCUUUAAGUACCCCGCCUGGGGAGUACGGCCGCAAGGCUAAAACUCAAAGGAAUUGACGGGGCCCCGCACAAGCGGCGGAGCAUGCGGAUUAAUUCGAUGCAACGCGUAGAACCUUACCUGGGUUUGACAUGGAUCGGGAGUGCUCAGAGAUGGGUGUGCCUCUUUUGGGGUCGGUUCACAGGUGGUGCAUGGCUGUCGUCAGCUCGUGUCGUGAGAUGUUGGGUUAAGUCCCGCAACGAGCGCAACCCUUGUUCACUGUUGCCAGCACGUUAUGGUGGGGACUCAGUGGAGACCGCCGGGGUCAACUCGGAGGAAGGUGGGGAUGACGUCAAGUCAUCAUGCCCCUUAUGUCCAGGGCUUCACGCAUGCUACAAUGGCUGGUACAGAGAGUGGCGAGCCUGUGAGGGUGAGCGAAUCUCGGAAAGCCGGUCUCGGUUCGGAUUGGGGUCUGCAACUCGACCUCAUGAAGUCGGAGUCGCUAGUAAUCGCAGAUCAGCAACGCUGCGGUGAAUAAGUUCCCGGG